GUUUCAUGAAAAUAGUUUGAGUUCUACGUUUCUUGUGUGAAUUGAUGUGCAACCUGACAGAUAACCGCUUAUAUUUAAGUAUUUGCACUGGUUGCCCCUUGACGUGUAAUCCCAAAAGCAUUGGCUCGUUGGCACGUUGACAAAGUGUCAUCGUCAAUUUGUAUUCGUCCCAUCGAAGACUGGUUUUCCAGGAUUGGUGAAGUUUAUACACUAUUGAAACUCUUCGAUCCCAAGUUGAGUUUGCCCAAAUACAGUCCACUGAGCCUUUUAUGACGAUCCCCGUAACAGACUAUGUUUUCUUAGGGCUCAACUUUUUUCAAAAUUUUCUCUUUUUGCGUCCAAAUGAUAAACUUAAGCAUAUAUGAUUUAAAGAAACAUGCAGUUAGUUUAGUGCUUAUCCUAUUUUCUAUAUAUUUUGAAGAAAUCCAUAAAAAUGGUUUACAUCAACGAAAACGUUUUUCGAUCCCGGUGUAAUCAGCUGAAUGCAUUAUGACACAAGAGGACAGCAAAGUAGCCGUAAUUCCAUGGUGAUGUCAUGUCAAUAAACUCACUGCGCCGAACUAUCUAUAGAACAUCUUAAAGAAGCCAAUCGCACUGCUACAAUAAAUAGAGCGAUACAAAUUCA